ACGCCGGAGGAUUGGGAUAUGUCCUAUUAGCUAGUUGGCGGGAUAAAAGCCCACCAAGGCGAUGAUAGGUAGCUGGUCUAAGAGGAUGAACAGCCACAAUGGGAUUGAGAUACGGCCCAUAUUCCUACGGGAAGCAGCAGUAGGGAAUCUUCCACAAUGGGCGAAAGCCUGAUGGAGCAAUGCCAUGUGAAUGAUGAAGGCCAGACAGGUCGUAAAGUUCUUUUAGAGGGGAAAAAUUUGAUGGUACCCUCUGAAUAAGUGACAGCAAACUAUGUGCCAGCAGCUGCGGUAAUACAUAGGUCGCGAGCGUUAUUCGGAUUUAUUGGGCGUAAAGCAAGCGCAGACGGAUGAAUAAGUUCUGCAUUAAAAGCAGCUGCUUAACAGUUGUUUGUGCUCGAAUAC
rnacentral:rRNA from 1 species